GCGGCGGCGUGCUAAUACAUGCAAGUCGAGCGAAUGGAUUAAGAGCUUGCUCUUAUGAAGUUAGCGGCGGACGGGUGAGUAACACGUGGGUAACCUGCCCAUAAGACUGGGAUAACUCCGGGAAACCGGGGCUAAUACCGGAUAACAUUUUGAACCGCAUGGUUCGAAAUUGAAAGGCGGCUUCGGCUGUCACUUAUGGAUGGACCCGCGUCGCAUUAGCUAGUUGGUGAGGUAACGGCUCACCAAGGCAACGAUGCGUAGCCGACCUGAGAGGGUGAUCGGCCACACUGGGACUGAGACACGGCCCAGACUCCUACGGGAGGCAGCAGUAGGGAAUCUUCCGCAAUGGACGAAAGUCUGACGGAGCAACGCCGCGUGAGUGAUGAAGGCUUUCGGGUCGUAAAACUCUGUUGUUAGGGAAGAACAAGUGCUAGUUGAAUAAGCUGGCACCUUGACGGUACCUAACCAGAAAGCCACGGCUAACUACGUGCCAGCAGCCGCGGUAAUACGUAGGUGGCAAGCGUUAUCCGGAAUUAUUGGGCGUAAAGCGCGCGCAGGUGGUUUCUUAAGUCUGAUGUGAAAGCCCACGGCUCAACCGUGGAGGGUCAUUGGAAACUGGGAGACUUGAGUGCAGAAGAGGAAAGUGGAAUUCCAUGUGUAGCGGUGAAAUGCGUAGAGAUAUGGAGGAACACCAGUGGCGAAGGCGACUUUCUGGUCUGUAACUGACACUGAGGCGCGAAAGCGUGACAACCC
rnacentral:rRNA from 1 species